rnacentral:rRNA from 1 species
ACCGGAGGCAGCAGUAGGGAAUAUUGGACAAUGGGCGAAAGCCUGAUCCAGCCAUGCCGCGUGUGUGAAGAAGGCCUUUUGGUUGUAAAGCACUUUAAGCGAGGAGGAGGCUACCGAGAUUAAUACUCUAGGAUAGUGGACGUUACUCGCAGAAUAAGCACCGGCUAACUCUGUGCCAGCAGCCGCGGUAAUA